AAAAACAUGUCCUUUAGAGUUUAAUUUAAGGUCUAACCUGCCCACUGAAUUAAAUGGCCGCAGUAUUUUAACUGUGCAAAGGUAGCAUAAUCAUUAGUCUUUUAAUUGAAGGCUUGUAUGAAUGGUUGGACGAGAUAUUAACUGUUUCAUAUAAAUUUAUAGAAUUUUAUUUUUUAGUCAAAAAGCUAAAAUUUUUUUAAAAGACGAGAAGACCCUAUAGAUCUUUAUAGUUUAUAAUUUAUAGUUAUAUAGAUUAUUUAAAUUAUAAUUUUAUAAAUUAUUUUGUUGGGGUGACAUUAAAAUUUAAUUAACUUUUAAUAAAUUUUUACAUUGAUUUAUGGAUAAUUGAUCCACUAUUAGUGAUUAUAAAAUUAAGUUACCUUAGGGAUAACAGCGUAAUUUUUUUGAAGAGUUCAUAUCGAUAAAAAAGAUUGCGACCUCGAUGUUGGAUUAAGAUAUAAUUUUGGGUGCAGCAAUUCAAAUAUUAAGUCUGUUCGACUUUUAAUUUCUUACAUGA
rnacentral:rRNA from 1 species